GCCAUACCAUGCUGAAUAUGCCGGUCCUCAUCCGAUGACCGAAGCUAUGCAGCCUUGGGCUUGGUCAGUACUUGGGAGGAAGACCACCUGGGAACACCGAGUGC
rnacentral:rRNA from 1 species